rnacentral:rRNA from 1 species
GACGAACGCUGGCGGCGUGCUUAACACAUGCAAGUCGAACGGAAAGGCCCUGCUUUUGUGGGGUGCUCGAGUGGCGAACGGGUGAGUAACACGUGAGUAACCUGCCCUUGACUUUGGGAUAACUUCAGGAAACUGGGGCUAAUACCGGAUAGGAGCUCCUGCUGCAUGGUGGGGGUUGGAAAGUUUCGGCGGUUGGGGAUGGACUCGCGGCUUAUCAGCUUGUUGGUGGGGUAGUGGCUUACCAAGGCUUUGACGGGUAGCCGGCCUGAGAGGGUGACCGGCCACAUUGGGACUGAGAGACGGCGCAGACUCCUACGGGAGGCAGCAGUGGGGAAUAUUGCACAAUGGGCGGAAGCCUGAUGCGACGACGCCGCGUGCGGGAUGACGGCCUUCGGGUUGUAAACCGCUUUCGCCUGUGACGAAGCGGGAGUGACGGUAAUGGGUAAAGAAGCACCGGCUAACUACGUG